UGCGUAGGUGGUUUCUUAAGUCAGAGGUGAAAGGCUACGGCUCAACCGUAGUAAGCCUUUGAAACUGGGAAACUUGAGUGCAGGAGAGGAGAGUGGAAUUCCUAGUGUAGCGGUGAAAUGCGUAGAUAUUAGGAGGAACGCCAGUUGCGAAGGCGGCUCUCUGGACUGUAACUGACACUGAGGCACGAAAGCGUGGGGAGCAAACAG
rnacentral:rRNA from 1 species